GUUCCCAGCAUGCUGGAGGUGGAUGGUUCAUAUAUAUGAUGUUCUGAGUGCAAGCCUGUGCUUUUGUUGGUACAGUGGGGAACACUAUCUCAGGUUACAAGAGGGCGGGAGAAACGGAAUGAACUGUACAUACGGCGUCUUCUCACGCCAGUAGAGUCUCUCUCAGAGCGCCUUGUACAGAUCCAACUGGUGGAUGAGGAAGUCGUGAGUGUCCUUGUCAUACACAGCAGACUCUUCCUGGAGACAGAACAGAGCAUUGGUAACCCAACAAACUCGUCGAUCUGCGAAUGCGUGAUCCUGUCAACGAUCUUCCUCUUGUCUCUGAUCAGCUCCACAAUCAUCUGAGCCACAUUCAGGCCGAUCCCACCCUG